CAGUAGCCGGGUAAUACGGAGGGGGCUAGCGUUGUUCGGAAUUACUGGGCGUAAAGCGCACGUAGGCGGCUUGGUAAGUUAGAGGUGAAAGCCUGGAGCUCAACUCCAGAAUUGCCUUUAAGACUGCCGAGCUAGCAGGUGAGAGAGGUAAGUGGAAUUCCGAGUGUAGAGGUGAAAUUCGUAGAUAUUCGGAAGAACACCAGCGGCGAAGGCGGCUUACUGGCUCAUACUGGACGCUGAGGUGCGAAAGCGUGGGGAGCAAACAGGAUUAGAUACCCCAGUAGUCCCUGUCUCUUAUACA
rnacentral:rRNA from 1 species